AAUUCAAACAAAUAUGUAUGUAUGCAAUUUAUUUGUAUAUAUGGUAUUU
rnacentral:misc_RNA from 1 species